rnacentral:lncRNA from 1 species
UAGCUCAUUUGCAAAAUGAAAUUCAUAUAUUAUGUUGAAAAGAUGACAUUUGUUCCGACAAACAUGGUGGAACCCCAACUUCAUUUAAUUAAAAUGAAACCACAUCAUAGCCAAUUACAAAUCUGUACACUAACAUCUACCUAUGGCAGUUCAUAGAAAGCAAAAAUUGAGUACAAAAAUGAAGUUCCAAACAUUCCAGCACCAUACAAAAUCUAACCAGAAACUACAUGUUUUAAGCUUCAGGAAGGUGUCCAUAGCUCCAGAUCACUCCAUAAGGGCAUCAUCCACGAAUGACAUGAAUCGACGGAUGCUUUUCUAUGGCAAUAGAUUGAGCGCCAUGCAGCUCCCCUCUUCAUAUGAACAGGAUGUCUUGGCUUGCUGAAAGAGACAAUUUGGAUGCAACUAGAACACUAGCUUGUCACAACAAGCAUUUUUUUCUAGAGAGUAACUUGCAGCUGAACAUGCAGAUCAUACCUGAAAAAAAGGAACAUCUUUUUUCAUAUGGACAUCCAAAACAAAAAGGUCAACAAAAUGAUCUGGUUGGACAAAAAUAAAUCUUAUGCUGAAUAGAAUUUCGAGGAUACUAGUUAAGAUCACUAAAAAAAGAUACUGUACAUAUGAGAACAUGUCUAUAACUCCUAAAAUCGUUACUGAGUAUUGAUUACAAAAAAAAUUGUCCUUACUUGCUGCCAUUAUUCUUAUUUGCUGCUAUUGGUUCAAGCUUUUCUUCAUAUUAAUGUUUGUUCUUCAUUCCUGCAAGCUGUUAUGCUACAUAAAUUUUUAAAAGAAGCAGAGUAUAGCUAACCUGAAUUUGUUAUGGAGCAAUAUAAUUGAAGAAUCAUCUAAUCAGAUCAAGGGUACAGUCACAAUUAUAGUUCACGUGUAGUACUAGCACAUUUCUACAGAUCGAAAACUAGUAUUGCUCAACUGUUCGUGCCAUAGCAAAUACAGCAAGUAUGUUACCAUCAGGGCACUGGUCCAAUGUGAAUUCUAGCAAGAUAAAAUACAGAACAUGAAAACAGGACACCAAAACUCCCAGGUACUAAUUUUUUCAUAUGCAAGUAUUAACAGUCAUGUGGAAACUUAUUUUUACUUGGUAAACAUGAAUAUGUUUAUAAUCAGGAAACGUCGGAAAAGAGAGCACCUCGUUUGUCUAUUUUCCAAUAUUACUGCUCCAGCUGAGGAUAAACUUUUACCCUUAUGAUUUAGCUAUUCUGCUGAUAGAAGUUUGCUCCAGCCGCGAAUUCUUUACUUGCAAUAGAAGUACCAGCAUUAUCAGAGUAUACCUCUGGAAGGUAUGGUCCUGAAUAUAUGUUGACACGACGAGAAUUAUCAUCUUGUUUG